GCAAUUUCAAGGGCAGGAUCACUGAGAAGGAAACAUUUGAUUGAAAGCCUGAAGGCAGUGAGGAACUGAGCUACAUGGCUACAUGGGGAGAAGAACACUCCAGGAAGGGAGAAAAGCCAGUGCAGAGGGACUCUGCCUGGUUUAAAGAGAAAUGGUUGGAGUGAAGUAAGCAGGAGGGAAAACAGAAGGAAAAGAUCAACUGUCCAAAACUUCCCAGGAUUGAGGGGGGGAAAAAAUCAGCUUUUGGACUAUGGAAAUGAUGUUAGACAAAAAGCAAAUUCAAGCAAUUUUCUUAUUUGAGUCCAAAAUGGGUUGUAAAACGGCAGAUAUAACUCACAACAUCAACAAUGCAUUUGGCCCAGGAACUGCUAAUGAACAUACAGUGCAGCAGUGGUCUAAGAAGUUCUGCAAAAGAGAAGAGAGCCUUGAAGAUGAGAAGCAUAAGUUGACAAUGACCAAUUGAGAGCAAUCAUUGAAGCUGAUCCUCUUACAACUAUAUGAGAAGUUGCCAAAGAACUCAGCGAUAACCAUUCUACAGUAGUUCGACAUUUGAAGCAAAUUGGAACAGUAAAAAAGCUCGAUAAGUGGAUGCCUCAUGAGUUGAGCAAAAAUUUUUUUAAAAUUGCUGUUUUGAGGUGUGGUCUUCUCUUAUUCUAUGCAACAACAAUGAAUCGUUUCUCGAUCAGACUGUGACAUGCGACGAAGAGUGGAUUUUAUAUGACAACGAGUGAUGACCAGCUCAGUGGUUGGACUGAGAAGAAGCUCCAAAGCACUUCCCAAAGCCAAACUUGCACCAAAAAAAGAUCACGGUGGUCUCUGCUGCCGGUCUGAUCCACUACAGCUUUCUGAAUCCUGGCGAACCCAUGACAACUGAGAAGUAUGCUCAGGAAAUCGAUGACAUCCACUGAAACCUGCAACACCUGCAGCCAGCACUGGUCGACAGAAAGGGCCCAAUUCUUCUCCAUGACCACGCCUGACCACAUGCUGCACAACCUAAGGCUUCAAAAGUUGAACAAAUUGGGCUGCAGAGUUUUGCCUCAUCUGCCAUAUUCACCUGACCUCUUGCCUCUCACUUAGAAGGAAAGACUAUAUUUUUACACCGAUUCACAAACAGGAUUUUUUUUUUAAAAAAUGGAUUUUAAACACAUCAGAACUAGACUAAGUUUUAGCAACCAGUAUUUUCAUCAGAAAUGGCCACUUGCAACUGCUGGUUCUUGUAUACAAAAAGUGCUGGUAAUGACUGAACCAAUACAGUGAAUAGGAUUUACAAUUUUCCCCUAAGUCUUUCUUCUCCAGUGGAUGUUGAUAAUAGGGCAAAUAAAAUACUUGAUUAGAUACCUUUUAGUGCUUCCAUCUAUCACUGCAUGAGUAGAUAGAUGGGACCAGAAUCAAUGGCAAAUCACCUCACUCCAUUCUAUUUAUAUUUCCUCAUGGCUUUUGAGUUAGUAAAAGUCACAAUUUGCCUAGACAAAUGAACAUGUAAGACACAGCACUUUAUGUGGUCAAGAGGUUUCUAGGGUGUCUCUCCCUAGAAAAGCAAUAGAGAAGCAAUGUUACUGUAUUAGUCUGUUUUCACGCUGCACAUAAAGACAUGCCCAAGACUGGGCAGUUUACAAAAGAAAGAGAUUUAAUGGACUCACAGUUCCACGUGACUGGGGAGGCCUCAUAAUCAUGGUGGAAGGUGAAAGGCAUGUCUCACAUGGCGGCAGACAAGAGAAGACAGCUUGUGCAGGGAAACUCCCCUUUUUAAAACUAUCAGAUCUUGUGAGACUUAUUCACUAUCACAAGAACAGCAGAGGAAAGACCUGCCCCCAUGAUUCAAUUACCUCCCACUGGGUCCCUCCCACAACACGUGGGAAUUCAAGAUGAGAUUUAGGUGGGACACAGCCAAACCGUAUCAGUCACCAUUCUCCAAGCCUCAAAGCACUGGGAAAUGCUUUGGAGCUUCUUCUCAGUCCAACCACUGAGCUGGUCAUCCAUUCUCCACAUUCUCACCAUUCUCCACAUCCUCUCUUACCAACAGACACCUUCAUCUAUACUGGUCCUGCCUGCAUCCCUUCUCUGUCUGGAUAAUCUCUAUGCACUCUUUGGGUCUUAAUGUUCACUUGGUUUGAGCCACCUCCAAUCACCAAAGUUUGAGUUAAGUGUGCUGCUUCCCACACUUUAAUGUCAUUACAUACUUAAUUGUACAUCUCUACCAAGCAUAUGCAUACAUGGUGAGGGCAGGUCCAUGUCUCAAUGCCUAGCUUCAUGGUGUACUGAGAUUAGGCACUCAGUAACUACGGACAGAAUGAGCCAGGACUGUUUGUAAGAAUCUCUGAGCACUACGGGAGUGUGAUUAGGAAGGUGCCUCUGGAAGGGGACGUGAAGCUCUGUGCCACUCUUAAGCGUGCACCCCUGAGAUCCCCCUUUCAGAGACAAGCUGCUGUGAGGAGCUUGUUGAACUGACAGCCUGCAGCAGCUGCACCUCCAGGAUCUGCCCAGCGUCUACAAUCAGGCUAUUCUUGCUGGGACGCUCCAGCCAAUGACAACACAUGGUGGGGAACAAGAGCUGGGCCAUUCCUGCCAACACAGGACUCCUUUCAGGGGCAGUCUUUGCUCUGGGGCUCUCUGACAGCUUGGCAAAGACUUCCUUACAGCUGCCUUCAGCCAAUCCUCCUAGCUCACCUCUCUCCUUGCAGAGGUGUCAGACCUGCACUAUGCGUGGCCCAAACGCUCUCCCCACCAACCCCUGGUCCUUCUCCAUUUGAUCCUUCCCAGGCAGACCCUCCCUGCCAAAAAUCUUUCUUGCACUUCAAAUUCCACCUUGGCGUCUGCUUAAGAGAGGACCCUAAUGACCAACUGCCAAAUACAGUUGGCUGAUAUGAGCAGGUUAUUCCUUCACAUUUCAGCUGAAGAAACAUUUAAGAUGCUUCUUGUUUAAAAAAAAAUUAAUGAGAAAUUAACAUUCUAAUAUAUGAUUCCCAGAGCUGAAGAAAUAAAAGUCAUUUCUGAACUGCAACAGAAAUCCAUAUUGAUUUUUCUCUUUACACAUCUCUGUCAUUGUUCCCAAGCCAGAGACUGUGAAGGACAUGAUUAUUUAUGUUCCUUCAAAUUAAUAGAUCAUUCAAAUCCCUCACAGGACUUUCAACUGAAAUGCUUCUAGUUCCAACAAAAGCUUUUUUAUUUUUAUUUCUUUUUUUUUUUUUUUUGAGACAGAAUCUCACUCUGUCACCCAGGCUGGAGGCUGGCAUGAUCAUGGCUCACUACAGCCUCGAUCUCCUGGGCUCAGGUGAUCCUCCCACCUCAGCCUCCCAAGUAGCUGGGACUGCAGGCAUGUACCAUCACGCCUAGUUAAUUUUUGUAUUUUUUUGUAGAGACAAGGUUUUGCCAUGUUGCCCAGGCUGGUCUCAAACUCCUGGGCUCAAGUGAUUCACCCACCUCAGCCUCCCAAAGUUCUGGGAUUAUAGGCAUGAGCCACUGCCCCUGGCCUCCAACAAAAGUUUUUUUUAAAAAACUAUUUCUAAUGUCCUCCAUUCCCUUUUGGAAGAACGACAUACUCCUACUCCUUUUUCUUCUCAAUCAAGGCAAUACCCACAUGGGCUUUAGUUCCUCCUUCCCUUCAUCCCAUUUCAUAUUUUGAAAAUUUUCACUUAUUUAUUUGUAUGCUUACUUGAUUCAGUCAUUUGACUAACAUACUGAGUACCUACUAUUUGCUGGACACAGCGUGCCACAUCAACAUGGUUUUCUGCCCUCAGGAAACUGAUACCCAAGAAGCUGAUAUAUGACCAAAAACACAAACACAGUUAUUUCAGAUACAUUUAAGUGCUUUGAAGAAAGAAACCUGGGAUGGUGUAACAGAGAGUGAUGGGAGUAGGGUGGGAUGAAUAAUUUGAUAGGAUACUUAAGAAACAACUUUCUAAGGAGGCAAGAUAAGAGCUGAGACCUGAAGGCAUAAGAAGGAGACACCCUUGGCACAAGCGAAGGAAGAACUCUCCCGACAGAGGAAACAGCAAAUGCACAAGCUGGGAGGGGCUGCAUACCAGGCAGACUGGCGGGAGAGGAAGGCAGCACUUCA
rnacentral:lncRNA from 1 species